GACGAACGCUGGCGGCGUGCCUAAUACAUGCAAGUAGAACGCUGAAGGUGGACUUUGCUUCUCUGGAUGAGUUGCGAACGGGUGAGUAACGCGUAAGUAACCUGCCUGGUUCUUGGGGAUAACUCUUGGAAACGAUAGCUAAUACCGCAUAUUAGCUGUUCUUGCAUUAUAACUUUUUGAAAGGUGCAAUUGUACUGCUACCUGAUGUCGCUGCGUUGUAUUUGCUAGUUGGUGGGGUAACGGCUCACAAAGGCGACGAUGCAUAGCCGGCCUGGGAGGGUGGUGAGCGACACUGGGAAUGAGACAAGGCCGAGACUGCUACGGGAGGCAGCAGAAGGGAAAGUGGGGAAAUGGGCGGAAGUGUGGCAGAGCAACGCCAGGGGAGUGAAGAAGGUGUUGGGGUCGUAAAGCUCUGGUGUAAGAGAAGAACAAGGGUGAGAGGGAAAAAUGCACGCUGUGACGGUAUCGGACCAGAAAGCGACGGCUAACUACGUG
rnacentral:rRNA from 1 species